GGAAGCGUGCCCGAAAGNUUAGGGA
rnacentral:tRNA from 1 species